AUUCAAAAAGGUAUGUUAAGUAUUGAUUUUUCAAUAAAUCGAAUAACUGUCCUAUUCUCAUACUUACCGAUCGGAGACACUUACUGGUUUCGCCAAUCAAACUCCGCCUAUGAGUCUGACGUCAGAUGCAGCCGCUUUAUAAGGAAGCCGCGGAAACUUUAGAAUCGCUCAGUUAAUUUGUAGCUCAGUGAUACAAAGUUGCCAUCUGAGCUGUCUGCUCUACUUACCUGUGUACCGCACCUCUGCCACUCCUACACCGACACUGCUGAUCUCUCUACUCCCUGAACUUGGA